rnacentral:lncRNA from 1 species
GUGCGUGGCGUGUCCGCUGGACCAGGGGACGGGGGCGCGCCGCAGGUGUAGGAGCUUUGCGCGCCUACCUGGCGGUCGUGGGUCGAGGAGGGGUCAAGAAUUGUUGUCUAGCAGCCCUCUCCCCGCUGCCCUGUCCUGGCCGAGGCAAAGGCCGCGUGCGCUCCGCGUCUGCCAGGCUUUAGGGCUGCGCGGACACUGGGUGGGUGGUGGGCCGAGGCGACCGGAAGGUCCUGGCCGCCUUUCCGGUCUCCUCAGCACCCUGGAGCGCCGCCCUCGGGUUUCGGUCUCCUGGAUCUGCGGGUCGGUCUCGGCGGGCGGAUUACUCCUCGCCCACAACCUCGAGGCCCCGGGGUCAACCGCGCCCUCCGGGCCGGCAACCCAGGGUUUAGUCAGAUUCCUCCUGACCCACCGCUUCUGGGAAAGAGGCGCCUCCCGUCAGGAGGAUGCUGAGUUCCUCAUGACUGGACCAGUGAGUGUCCACUCCCUGGUCCCUGGCGAGAGAGGCGGGACCCCCACGCCCUCCUGGCGCUCUUUGCAGAGAUGUUCCUCAGGCCCAAUCCGGGAUUUGGGAUGUCUGUGCGUGCUGUGGAGCAGAGAGUUUGCAACAUGGUCUCACUUUGUCACCCAGGCUGGAAUGCAUUGGCAUGAACACGUCUCACUGCAGCCUCAACCUCCCAGGCUGAAGUGACCCUCCAACUCUGCUUUCACAGUAGCUGUGAUAUGGUUUGGCUGUGUCCCCACCCACAUCUCAUCUUAAAACCCAGUGGGAGGUAAUUGAAUCAUGGGGGCAAGUCUUUCCUGUGCUGUUCUUGUGAUAGUGAAUAAGUCUCAUGAGAUCUGAUGGUUUUUAAAAGAGUUCUGGCUGGGCAUGGUGGUGGGCACCUGUAAUCCAAACUACUAGGGAGGCUGAGGCAGAGUGAAUUGCUUGAACCUGGGAGAAGGAGGUUGCAGUGAGCCGAGAUUGCACCGCUGCACUCCAGCCUGGGCAAAAUUGAAGACUCUGUCUCCAAAAAAAAAAAAAAGGAGUUCCUCUGCAUAAGCUCUCUCUCUUUGCCUGCUGCCAUCCAUGUAAGAUGUGACUUGCUCUUCCUUGCCCUAUGAUUGUGAGUCUUUCCCCAGCCACGUGGAACUGUAAGUCCAAAUAAACCUCUUUCUUUUGUAAAUUGCCCAGUCUUGGGUAUGUCUAUCAGCAGCAUGGAAAUGGACUAAUACAGUAAAUUGGUACCAGUAGAGUGGGGUGUUGCUGAAAAGAUACCUGAAAAUGUGAAAGUGACUUUGGAACUGGGUAGCAGGCAAACAUUGGAACAGUUUGGAGGGCUCAGAAGAAGACAGGAAAAUGUAGGAAAGUUUGGAACUUCCUAGAGACUUGUUGAAUGGCAUUGACAAAAAUGCUAAUAGUGAUACGAACAAUAAGAUCCAGUCUGAGGUGGUCUCAGAUGGAGAUGAGGAACUUGUUGGGAACUGGAGCAAAGGUGACUCUUGUUAUGUUUUAGCAAAGAGACUGGUGACAUUUUGCCCCUGCCCGAGAGAUUUGUGGAACUUUGAACUUGAGGGAGAUGAUUUAGGGUAUCUGGUGGAAGACAUUUCUUUUUUUUUUUUUGUGACGGAGUCUUGCAUUGUCGCCUGGGGUGGAGUGCAAUGGUCUGAUCUCAGCUUACUGGGUUCAAGCAAUUCUGUCUCAGCCUCCCGAGUAGCUGGGAUUACAGGCGUCCGCCACCACGCCCUUCUAAUUUUUUGUAUUUUUAGUAGAGACGGUUUCACUAUGUUGGCCAGUGGAAGACAUUUCUAAGCAGCAAAGCAUUCAAGAGGUGGCUUGGGUGUUGUUAAAGGCAUUCUGUUUUGACUGGGUGCGGUGGUGCACACCUAUAAUCCCAGCACUUUGGGAGGCCGAGGAGGGUGGAUCAAGAGGUCAGGAGUUCAAGACCAGCCUGGCCAAUAUGGUGAAACCCUGUCUCUACUGGAAAUACAAAAAUUAGCUUGGCAUGGUGGUGUGCGCCUGUAGUCCCAGCUUCUCGGGAGGCUGAGGCAGGAGAAUCGCCUGGACCCGGGAGGUGGAGGUUCCAUUGAGCCAAGAUCAUGCCACUGACUCCAGCCUGGGCAACAGACUGAGACUCUGUCUCAAAAAAAAAGAAAAAAAAAAAGGCAUUCAGUUUUAUAAGGGAAGCAGAGCAUAAAAGUUUGGGAAAUUUGCAGCCUGACAAUGUGAUAGUAAAGAAAAUCCCAUUUUCUGAGAGGAAAUUCAAGCUGGCUGCAAAAAUUUGCAUAAGUACCAAGGAGCCGAAUGUUAAUAUCCAAGACAAUGGGGAAAAUAUCUCCCAGACAUGUCAGAGGUCUUCAUGGCAGCCCCUCCCAUCAACAGGUCCAGAGGCCUAGGAGGAAAAAGUGGUUUUGUGGGCAGCACCCAGGGUCCCCAUGCUAUGUGCAGCCUAGGGACUUGGUGCCGUGCGUCUCAGCUCCUCCAGUGGUGACUGAAAGGGGCCAACAUAGAGCUCGGGCUGCUGCUUCAUGGGGUGGAAGUCCCAAAUCUUGGCAGCUUCCAUGUGGUGUUGAGCCUGCGAGUACAUAGAAGUCAAGAAUUGGGGUUUGGGAACCUCCAUCUAGAUUUCAGAAGAUAUAUGGAAAUUCCUGGAUGCCCAGGCAGAAGUUUGCUGUAGGGGUGGGGCCUUCAUGGAGAACCUCUGCUAGAGCAGUGCAGAAGGGAAAUGUGGGGUCGGAGCCCCCACACAGAGUCCCCGCUGCGGCCCUGCCUGAUGGAGCUGUGAGAAGUGGACCACCGUUCUCCAGACCCCAGAAUGGUAGAUCCACCGACAGCUUGCACCGUGUGCCUGGAAAAGCUGCAGACACUCAAUGCCAGCCUAUGAAAGCAGCCUGGAGGGAGGCUUUACCCUGCAAAGCCACAGAAGUGGAGCUGCCCAAGACCAUGGGAAUCCACCUCUUGCAUCAGUGUGACCUGGAUGUGAGACAUGGAGUCAAAGGAUAUCAUUUUGAAGCUUUAAGAUUUGACUGCCCUGCUGGAUUUCAGACUUGCAUGGGUCCUGUAGCCCCUUUGUUUUGGCCAAUUUCUCCCAUUUGGAAUGGCUAUAUUUACCCAAUGCUUAUACCACCAUUCUAUCUAGGAAGUAAAUAACUUGCUUUUGAUUUUACAGGCUCAUAGGCAGAAGGGAUUUGCCUUGUCUCAGAUGAGACUUUGGACUGCGGACUUUUGAGUUAAUGCUGAAAUGAGUUAAGACUUCGGAGGACUAUUGGGAAGGCAUGAUUGGUUUUGAAAUGUGAGGACAUGAGAUUUGGGAGGGGCCAGGGGUGGAAGGAUACGGUUGGGUUCUGUGUCCCCACCCAAGUCUUAUCUUGUAGCUCCCAUAACCCAUGUGUCUUGGGAGGGACCUGGUAAUUCAAUCAUGUGGGCUGGAUGCGGUUGCUCAUGCCUGUAAUCCCAGCACUUUGGGAGGCCAAGGGGGAGAUCACUUGCGAUCAGGAGUUUGAGACCAGCCUGGCCAACAUGGUGAAACCCCAUCUAUACUAAAAAUACAAAAAUCAGCCUCCCGUGUAGCAGGCAUUGUCACAGGCGCCUGCCACCACACCCACCUAAUUUUUUUGUAUUUUUAGUAGAGACGGGGUUUCACCGUGUUAGCCAGGGUGGUAUCGAUCUCCUGACCUUGUGAUCCGCCCACCUUGGGCUCCCAAAGUGUUGAGAUUACAGGCGUAAGCCACUGCACCCGGCAAUAAACCUCUUUCUUUUGUAAAUUGCCCAGGUAUGUCUUUAUCAGCAGCAUGAAAAUGGACUCAUACAAUGAUCCAUUACCUAGGGUAAAAUUCUCCUGAAUGUCAAACAGAGAUAAACUACAUUUGGGUUUUGGGUAAGUCCCCUGUAAUGAUGAAUCAAGAAUCCUCAAGUCUGUCUUGCCACCCAUUUAAUACGUAUUUUUGUUAAGGCUGAAGUUUAGAGUUAGAAUCAGGACAUUUUGGCCUAUUGAGAGGUUCUGAAUUCCAACAGAAGAUGCCAUGUAAAUCAGUGAAUUUGAUUCUUUUAAAAGCAACUUACAAAAUUUACAAGAUGUAUUCAAUAAAGCAGUUUAGCUUUGGUAUAUCAAACCUUAUAAUGAACCAUUUUUCCCACUUCAUCUUAUGCAAUGUUUAAUAUUUUCUAUUUUUGUCAAGGAUAUUAAACCUACACCUGGAAACAUAUUAAAUGCCAACUUAAAAUGUGAGAAGUUUGGCAGAACUCAGACCCAUUCUUCCAAUUUCCAAGCUGUUUAAUCACACUGAUUCAGACACUCUGGAUAGCAGCUGGGAUUGUAGUUAUCUUUAUGCUUUGAGCUCUCUAGUUUUGUCUACACAUCUUAUAAAAUAUCCCCUCCUCAUUCUCCUCUAGCUGGAACACUAACCCAAUGGAUGUUGUGGUGAACUUUCUUUGACCAGGCAGAGAAGUGCAGCAUUGGGUGGACCAUGCACAACCAGUUUGAGAAGCACUGCUCUAGGGGUUGGGGGAGCAACAAUAGAAAGAGUGUAGGUUCUGAAUACCUGAAGCAUACAUUUUAGCUCUAGACUGCUUAUAUUGUUGUUACAUGAAAGAGAACUUUUAAUCUGGUUUAAACCACUGGAUCUCUUUAUUCCAGCAAGUGAAUCUAUAUCCAACUAAUAUUUACUCCCAGUCUGUUCUUUCUCACCCCUCUUUCCCUUACUAUAAACCUUUUCUAUAUCAAUUUAUAUCAUUAGUUGCUCAGCCCACAAACCAGAUGUCACUUUUGUUUUCUCUUUUCCUUCCCAUUCAUAGCCAGGCCAUCGUUGUGACUUAUUGGCUGUACCUCCAAAAUAUAUCCCAGAUCUGAUCUCUUCUUAUAAUUUGUACUGCUACAACCUUAGUCAAAGCCACUAAUAUCUCUUAUCUGAACUCCAGUGGUUUACUAGUUUUCUGCCUCUCUUCUUGACACAAUUCAUCUUUCUACAUAGCAGCCAGAGUAAGAUAAAAUCAUAAAUCAGAUCAUAUAACUUCUACCCCCUGUACCAAUGGCUAUCUUUUAUACUCAGAAUAAAAUCCAAAACCUUUAUUUGGCUUCCAAGAUCCUACAAGAUAGAGACCUUACUUCUCAUCUUGUACCCAUCAUUUGAUCUUCAGUCCCUUGAAAAUGCCAAGUCUAUUUCCAUUUCAGGGCCUUUGUGCUUGUUACUAUUGUUUCUUUUCUCUUGGAAAACUGCCCAGAUCUUUCCUUAGCUGAAUUAUUCAGAUCCCAACUCAAAUAUCAUCUCUUUAGAAAAUUCUUUCAGAACCAGGUGUGGUGGUGCACACCUGUAAUCUCAGCUACUCGAGUGGCUGAGGCUGAUGGAUUUCUUGAGCCCAGAAGUCUGAGGCCAGCCUGGGCAAUAUAGCAAGAUCCUGUCAAAAAGAAAAAGGUAUCUCACCAUGAUUAUAUUUUAAUUUCCCUUCAGCAAUUAGAAGUCCCUGAAAUUAAUUUACCUUAUUUGUUGGCAACCUCUGCCUCCUGGGUUCAAGCGAUUCUCCUGCCUCAGCCUCCUGAGUAGCUGGGAUUACAGGCGUGCACCACCACGCCUGGCUAAAUUUUGUAUUUUUAGUAGAGAUGGGGUUUUGCCGUGUUGGUCAGGCUGGUCUCGAACUCCUGACCUCUGAUCUGCCCACCUCGGCCUUCCAGAGUGCUGGGAUUACAGGCAUGAGCCACCAUGGGCCCACAAAGCUAUUUUACUUAGCAUUUUUUUUCCCGAGGCUAAAUUGGGAACUACUGACAAUACUAUUGACAAUACUAAAUAUAUUUUUAAAUUAUUUUACUUAUUUUUGAGACAGGGUCUCACUGUGUCACCCACGCUGUAGUGCAGUGAACCAUCACCACUCACUGCAGUCUCACCCUUCCUGAACUCAGGUGAUCCUCCCACCUCAGCCUCCUGAGUAGCUGGGACUACAGGCAUGCACCACCAUGCCUGGCUAAUUUUUAAAAUUUUUUGUAGAGAUGGAGUUUCGCCAUGUUGCCCAGGCUGGUCUCAAACUUCUGGGUUCAAGUGAUGCAAGUGUCUCAGCCUCCUAAAGUGCUAGGAUUACAGGCGUAAGCCACUAUGCCCAGCCUUUUAUUUUAUUUUAUUUUAUUUAUUUAUUUUUUGAGACAGAGUCUUGUUCUGUUGCCCAGGCUAGAGUGCAGUGGUGCAAUCUCAGCUCACUGCAACCUCUGCCUCCCAGGUUCAAGCGAUUAUCAUGUCUCAGCCUCCCUAGUAGCUGGGAUUACAAGUGUGCACCACACGCGGCUAAUUUUUGUAUUUUUUGUAGAGGCAGAGAGGCAGGGUUUUAUUAUGUUGGCCAAGCUGGUCUUGAACUCCUGGCCUCAAGUGAUCUGCUCACCCCGGCCUCCCAAAGUGCUGAGAUUACAGGUGUGAGCCACCAUGCCCACCAACCUAUUUUUUAUUUUAAAAAAUUGACAGCAUACUAAAUGUUUGUAAUGCAAAUGAUAAAAUUGCUACAAUGAAAACAAGAAGUUGAGAAUUAGAUGAAGAGUUGAUUAAGGGAACUAUGAGUCACUGUGUUAGAGCAUGUAUAUUAUGAAAAUUAUAGCAGAAGUGAUAAAGGGUGACAAUUGUUACCUAUCUUCAAUCAAAAGCUCUUUGAAUAUCUUUCUUUUUUUUAAUUUUAUGAAUUUUUUUUACAGAGACAGGGUCUCACUAUAUUGCCCAGGUUGGUCUCGAACUCCUGGGCUCAAGGGAUCCUCUUGCCUUGGCCUCACAAAGUACCUGGAUUACAGGCAUGAGCCACAGUGCCUGGCCCUCUUUGAAUAUCUUUAAUGCUUUUAGAGAUUAGCAUCAGAGAAUUAUUAAUACUAGAGGGCACAAGGAAUUAGCCAUUGCCAGUGGACACCUACAUAGGUGUGACUAUGUGACUCAGUUUUAAAAAUGUGACACAAUGAAAAAAUUCCUUGGAUGUUAUGGAGGACGAAAAUUUUGUAAGUCCUAUCCAUUCUUUAAUGGAGAAACUAAAAUUUACAAUAUUACUUUAUUUAGCCCAAGAUUUUCUUAAGCUUUGUAUUUUCUAAUUCAGCUUUGGCUUACAGAAUCAUGCUUGAAGUUUGAGACUGCCAGCUUUCAACAGGCAGUUACUAGUGAAACUCUUUGGAAAGAUGAGAAGAUGUUGACAUAAGUGUAAUGUGAGACAAAGCAAAGUAAAAUGUAAUUUUUAAGAAAAUGUUGCCGGGUGUGAUGGUGGCUCAUGUUGCUGUUGGUUGCUAUGGGAGUGAACGAAGGGGGACGAAUGCAGAAAUGAAGACAAAGACAAAAAGAGUAUUUUUGGAAGAAGGGGUCAGGGGACUCCUUGCUUCUAGUGGGCAAGGGCCCUGAGCUUCUACAGCCCUUCAUAUUUAUUAGGUAGAAAGAGCAGGGAGGGAGAGGUAACAGUUGGUCAGCUGCUUGAUUUAUCACAGGUACACAUAAUUGCUUCCUUUGUACAACAGGCUUCAGAUGUUACUAUAGAUAAUCACAAGGAACACUGCGCUUGGGGCAUGACUGCCCUCAGCAACCCUUCUGGCGGCAGACACAGUUGUUAGUUUUCCAACAUCCUGCUUUCAUGAGAACAGUUUUCUGUUUGCUCAUAUAGCCUUCAGUGGUAUACUGAGUUGGUCACGACCUUCAUUCUUUCGGCCUGUAACAUCUCCCCAUUUUUGUUUUUGCAUUAAUUGAAUAAAGGUAAUUGCAGGUUGUGCAGCUCUCAAUUGCCGUUUGGUGGUCCAGCUGAUUUUGCAGACUGUUAACAAAAAACAAAAAUAUAAUAACAUUAAUCCCAUAGUUACAAAAAAGACAUUGAGAUGCUAUUUGAAGUAGGUCCCAGGGUUAAGGCUGUCUAAACCUUGCUGGAAUUCUGCCCAAGCUUUUAAAGAGGGCUGAAACGCUUGAGUCUGCUUAUUCAAGUUAAGGAUUUUACUUUGUAAAUCAUUAAUAUCAAAAGUAACAUUGAAUGUGAAAGCUCCCUGUAAAUGGGCUUUUACAAGGCUCAAUGGAUAUUCACUUUGGUUAUAUACCAAAUUGGUCACACAAAUAUGAGUAUGAUUAAAAUGACAACGCAUUGCUGCUGCAACUGCAAACUUUGUACUUGUUCCCCUAGCCAUAGAACAGUAGUCUUUAACAUUGCCACCUCUGUUUGUAUUUCGGUGUUAAUUUUAUUUUGAAGCAUCCAUGCCUGGUCGACUGUGCAUGUCCAGUUUUCCACAUAUUGAGCUGUUUGAAUGGAGCUGUGCGUUGCUGCUGAGGACAACACAACAGAGGUUAUUAAUGUAACUAAGGAGACUAUAACAAAAAUUAUCAUGCCUAAGGCUCUAUGAGCACGAUGAGUAAGCGGAGUAAAAAGGAGUUUCAUAAGAUGUAAAGCGGGGGUGGCUGCCCAAGGCUAAGAUAAAUUUACAGGAAUUCAUAAUCCAGGAACAUGACCUAGAAUUGUUAGGGUGGAUAUGUCAUGUGUUUGUAUUGUGCUAUGAUUAAGGCAAUGAUACAGUUGACAGGAAUCACAAGUCAAUUGGGCAUCAUCUACCUGGAGGUGGGUUUUUUUUGCUGCUAAGAAAAUAUAAGGAUUAAAAACAAAUUGUAAAUUGAGUGGUAAUAUUUUCUACAAGGGUAACAUUAAAACUGUGUUUAGCACAAUUACUAUUAUUGGAUAGUGUCCCAAUCCAAAUGCUGCCAUUCAUAAAUGGGAGUGCUGCUUUCCAUAUUGACUCCUGAAUUGGACCUCUCUUUCCUUGAUAAUGCCAUUGAGGCAAAGGUGAGCUAAAGCAUGUGCUGUGUCAAGCAAUUUGGGCAGCAGAUUGAGAUUGAAUUGCAAUGUGAUGUAGUGGGAGAUGUUAAAGUUUUGCCACCAGUUCCAGCAAAGUUAAUGCCAUGAGGUCUGAUGCUCAUGUCUCCCAACCAAAUGACCAUGGGGACCCCAGUAAAUAAUGUCUCCCAUUAGCAUGGACUGUUGUCUAGCUAGGGAGCUAAGACACGGGGUCCAAGGAGGGGGGUUAGAAUUAUCAAAGGGAGCCCAUUCUAUAUAAUUAAUACAAUUUGGGUGAUGGGGCCGGGAGUGAUUAGUAACUACACCAGUAAUAUUAGUAGAACUAAGGCCCAAUAGGUACGUAAAUUUUCCAUGGUAACUCAACCAUGCCUGGGAUUGAAUUGCAAGGCAACUGCAGUUGAGCAGUGUAUCCUGGGUGAUGCAUAAAGAAAGGCCCUCCAAUGGAGUGGUAUAAUUGAUACCAUUGUUCUGAGAGUCUAAUUGCUCUGUGUCAGGGGGAGUUAAGGGUCCCGGUGCCCAUGCUCCUUGAUCAUGAUAUAUCUCAGGAGGAGUGUCACCCCGGUCAUACUACCGGGGGGUUAGGAACAUAAGCCCAAUAUGUUUUUGCCUCUGCACAGGGAAAACAUAGCACACAGGAUAUCAUAGCUAGCAUGGCCAUAAACAUGGAGUCAGGGGUUUUUGCCUGACCCUGAUGCUCCAGCAGUUUCUCAUCUUCUUGUGUGGUUUUCUUGAUCUGUAAAACACAAGCAUACCCUCAUCCCCAUGUCAGUAAAUCUACCAGGCCUUUCCAUUGUCCUUCUUCCAGGGAUUUCCAUAAUACUUUUGGGUAAACUUUCCUUUUUCCCUCUAACAUUUGCCAGUGUCAUUCUACCGGAGUCUUAUUAUCUGUACCAGGAGUUAAAAAAUUUAAAGUAAAUAAUGCUAAAUGUAGUAUUGUUUGAGGUGGUAACUGGUCUCCUAUACCUCCUUUUUGUUUUUUCAGCGCAUGUUGUAAUGUUUGAUGUGCCUGCUCUAUAAUUCCUUGUCCUCGAGGGUUAUAAGGAAUUCUUGUUUUGUGAGUGACUGCCUAUAACUGUAAACAAUUUUGAAAAGCAUGACUAACUUAAGCAGGUCCAUUGUCAGUUUUUAAUUGUUUAGGGACCCUCAUAUCGGCAAAUGACAACAGACAAUGUCAUUGGACAUGGCCAGCUGUUUCACCUGUUUGACAUGUAGCAUGCAGCAUAUGAGAAUAAGUGUCUAUAGUCAUAUGAACAUAGCUAAGUUUGUCAAAGGCUGCUAUAUGUGUAACAUCAAUUUGCCAGAUUUCAUUUGGAGCUAAGCCUCGUGGGUUACAUCCUUCUACCGGUAUAACACCAGGGACAUGCUGACAAGUGGGGCAGGCUUGCACAAUAGCUCGAGCCUGGCUUCGAGGCAGAUGAAACAUACAAGUAAGGGCAGAGGUGUUUUGAUGCAGUAAUGCAUGAGAGGCUUCAGCUUGCUGAAACACAGAACCAAUCAAUUUAUCUGCUCUAUCAUUACCUAGAGGUAGUGGUCCAGGAAGUUGUGUGUCAGAGCGAAUAUGAGAAAUUUGAAAAGGAGCAGCAUGAGAGCAAACAGCUCGCUGAAGUCUUAGAAACAAGUUAAACAGCUCUGGUUCUAGGGUGCUUUUAAUAGUAGCAGUCUCAAUGCGACUGGCUACAUUUACAACAUAGGCUAAAUCACAGACAAUAUUAAUAGGAGAGGAAGCAGUGAGCUGUAAAACCUGAAUAACUGCCAUUAAUUCUGAGCAUUGAGCUGAAACACCAGGGAUUUUUAUUGUUUUAAUAUGCUUAGGUCCAUAAAUAGAUGCUCAGACUUUGGAAGAGCCGUCAGUGAAAUAAGUCUGGCCACCUGGAAUAGGCUUGUGAUGAGUAAUCACAGGGAGGAUAAAAGGGUAAACUUUAUAAAAUUGCAAAACUUUGUCUGAUGGAUAAUGAUUAUCUAUUAUUCCUUUGCUUCAGCCAACAUCGUAGAGCGAUGAAGCUCAGUUCCCACAUCCUGACAAGCUUUGAUAAAAUUUCCUAAGCUUUUUAUACAUCUCACAGAUGCCAAUGCAUGUUUACAGUCCGUGUUUGCAUUCUCAAAAGCUAGUUAAGGUUAGCAUUUCUGUAGCCAUGGUAAGAGAAAUCUGACACUUCACUGCCUAUGGUAAUCUUGCAAGAAAAUGUGCAUAGAGCUCCUGUGACCCUUUCAUGAUAUGUAAGAGAUUGUACUGGGACCCUUUCCUCUGGAAUUGUGGCCCAGGUGCGUUUAACAGCCAAGGCACACUGCUUACAAGCAGCGUCUGGGAGUGCUAUUUGAUGUUCUAGGUCUGAAUAGGGGCCACUGCCUAACAGCAUCCUCUGUAAUGUCUCUGUGUCCAGCAGCACGAUUCUAUCUAGCCUGGUCUGCACACAGUUCUUGCCAAUUUAAAUACCAUAUCAGGUAUGCACUAGCAGACAAACAAGUGCAAGCCAAAUGCUUUACAUCAAAGGGUGGAAGGCGCAUAGCGCCAAAUAGAUUCUAGCAGUCCUAAAGUAAAUGGGCUUUGUAUUCCAUUAUUAACUACACUAGCUUUUAAUUCCUUCAGCAACUUAAAUUCUAGUGGGGUGUGUUCAUGAAUAAACUGCUGUGGAUUAUGUGGAUCAGGCCUUACGGAAAUAGGAAAAGCUCAAGGUCCUAAGGGUUCUCCAGCCAUAGCAGUAGAGUGUAAAGUUCUUUGUAUUGGGGUCUCUAUUUCUGCUACUGAAGGAGGCGGUUCAGAUGUUUCUGCUACUAGAGGGGGUGACACAGGCCAAUUUUCAUCCUCCUGCUCCUGUUUAUUAUUUUUAAUUGGCGCUGUUGAGAGAACAGAAAGAUUCUUUCAAAUUUUUUGACUCUGAACAUGACUCCUGCUGUCUAGCAGAAUAAGAAAUGAAUAAUGGCAGGAUGAACUAAACUCCAAAUAUAAAAAAGAAAAUAGCCAAAUUCUUCCCCCAUGUUACCCUGAUUCAGAAACUUCCCGUUCCCAGUACCUCUUUAGGGCACUGACCUUAUAUUAGCUGUCAGCAGACUCGUCGCAGGGUUUCUCAUUCUCGUUCUUCUUGUCAGUGUCAGUUUCUCUGCUCCAGCAGACCUUCACUCACGUCCCUGUCCUAGGUGCCAGUUGUCGCUGUUGGUUGUUAUGGGAGUGAACGAAGGGGGAUGAAUGCAGAAACGAAGACAAAGACAAAAAGUAUUUUUGGAAGAAGGGGUCAGGGGGCUCCUUCUAGUGAGCAAGGGCCCUGAGCUUCUACAGCCCUUCGUAUUUAUUAGGUAGAAAGAGCAGGGAGGGAGAGGUAGCAGUUGGUCAGUUGCUUGAUUUAUCACAGGUAUACAUAAUUGCUUUCUUUGUACAACAGGCUUCAGAUGUUCCUAUAGAUAAUCACAAGGAACACUGUGCUUGGGGUGUGACUGCCCUCAGCAACCCUUCUGGCAGCAGACACAGUUGUUAGUUUUCCAACAUCCUGCUUUCAUGAGAACAGUUUUCUAUUUGCUCAUAUAGCCUCCAGUGGUAUACUGAGUUGGUCACGACCCUCAUUCUUUCGGCCUGUAACAGGCUCAUGCCUGUAAUGCCAGCACUUUUGGAGGCCGAGGCAAGAGGAUAGCUUGAGCUCAGGAGUUGGAGACCAGCCUGGGCAACACGGUGAAACCCCAUCUCUGCAAAAAUUAGCCUGGUGUGGUGGGGUGCGCCUGUAGUCUCAGCUGCUUGUGGGGCUGAGGCGGGAGAAUAGCUUGAGCUCCAGGGGUCGAGGCUGCAGUGAGCCAUAAUGGUGCUGCUGCAUUCCAGCCUGGGUGACAAAGUGAGACUAUCUCAAAAAAAAAAACGGCUGUUAGAUAAAAAUGAAGACAAACAACAUUUGCAAGGAUAUAAAUCUUAACCCAUUUAUUGGGGGUAUAGGCUCUGGUGUCAGAUUUCCAUCUGUCCUGUAUUUUGUAACCACAAAAUUGUCCUGGCUGGAUUAAUUGUAAGGAAGUCCCUUUAAACACAUCUAGACUUCCAAAGUUUGUUUACAUACUAAUUAGUUGUCAUGAAAAGCUGCAUUCAACCCAGGGUCUGAGAUGCCUUUUGUAUAUGAAAAGUGCUUCUCUUUCUGACACUGACUGAAUUACAUACAUAACAGAUUCAUUUAUUUAAAAACAAUUUAAGAGGCUUUUUCUAUAAUGCUGAACCUGCUGUGUGGUAUUUAUGUUUAAUUCUGGUCAAAUUUUCAAAACUAAUAAACACUGCAAUUCAAAACCAUUAAUUAUCAAGCAUAGACCAAGUAUCUGAGGUUAUGAGCACAUAUUUAAGAGGUUAGACUCUGGCAUUCCAGACAUUGCAAAUAAUACUUUUCUCAUUUCUAAAUUUCCUAGAAACAAGUGGAGAUUUGUAAAAGGAAAUAAUACUCUUUAAAACAUUUAUUUUUGACUCAGGAUCUGGCUCUGUUGCCCUAGCUAGAGUGCAGUGGUGCCAUCAUCACAGCUCACACAAUAGCCUGGAACUACUGGGCUCAAACCAUCCUCCCACCUCAGCCUCCCAAGUAGCUGGGACUGCAGAUGCAGGCCAUCAUGUCCCGCUAAGUUUUAUUUUAUUUUUGUAGAGACAGAGUCUAUGUUGCUCAGGCUGGUCCUGAACUCCCGGCAUCAAGUGAUCCUCCCACCUCCCAAUAAAACAUGUACUGAUGGCCAGGCACUUGGCUCACGCCUGUAAUCCCAGCACUUUGGGAGGCCGAGGCGGGCAGAUCAUGAGGUCAAGAGAUCAAGACCAUUCUGGCCAACAUGGUGAAACCCUGUCUCUACUAAAAAUACAAAAAUUAGCCAGGUGUGGUGGCACGCGCCGGUAGUCUCAGCUACUCCGGAGGCCGAGGCAGGAUAAUUGCUUGAACCCCAGAGGCGGAGGUUGCAGUGAGCCGAGAUCGUGCCACUGCACUCCAGCCUGGCGACAGAGCAAGACUCUGUCUCAAAAAAAAAAAAAAAACCAAAAACCAAAAAAUCAAAACCAAAACCAUGUAUUGAUAUCAAAGUUUUUUUAUCCUGGCAGGGCACAGUGGCUCACGCCUGUAAUCCCAGCACUUUGGGAGGCUGAGGCAGGUGGAUCACGAGGUCAGGAGUUCAAGACCAGCCUGGCCAAGAUGGUGAAGACCCGUCUCUACUAAAAAUACAAAAAUUAGCCAGGCGCAGUGGCAGGCGCCUGUAAUCCCAGCUACUCGGGAGGCUGAGGCAGGAGAAUCGUUUGAAACCAGGAGGGUAGAGGUUGCAGUGAGCCAAGAUUGUGCCACUGUACUCCAGCCUGGGUGACAGAGUGAUACUAUGUCUCAAAAAAAAAAAAAAAAAAAAAAGAAAAAGAAAAAAGAAAGAAAGUUGCUUUAUCUUUAAAACUAUAUAUAUUGUUUUCACCCCUACAUAGUCCUUGCCUCCCAGACAUCUCCUCACUAACGUCAGUAGACAAUUUGGCAUCUGAUGGUUUGAAAUAGUUUCUGUAAUCAAAUCCUGAAUAAAAUCCAUUUUAAAGC